rnacentral:tRNA from 1 species
GUUUCUAUGGUGUAAAUUGCACAUUAGAUUUUCAUUCUAAAGGAAUAAAAUUAUUUAUUAGAAAUA